rnacentral:rRNA from 1 species
GACGUAGGGUGCAAGCGUCGUCCGGAUUUACUGGGCGUAAAGAGCGCGUAGGCGGCUCGUUAAGUGAGAAGUGAAAGCUGUGGGCUCGACCCACAAACCGCUUUUCAUACUGGCGAGCUGGAGUGAUGCAGAGGUGGAUAGAAUUCCCGGUGUAGCGGUGAAAUGCGUUGAUAUCGGGAGGAAUACCCGUGGCGAAGGCGGUCCACUGGGCAUCAACUGACGCUGAGGCGCGAAAGCGUGGGUAGCAAACAGG